GACGAACGCUGGCGGCGUGCCUAACACAUGCAAGUCGAACGGGGUGAUACCUUCGGGGAUCACUUAGUGGCGAACGGGUGAGUAACACGUAGGUAAUCUGCCCUACAGACGAGGAUAACGGUUGGAAACGACCGCUAAUACUGGAUAGUAAGUGAUCUCGCAUGAGGACACUUUUAAAGUUCCGUAUGGAACACUGUAGGAUGAGCCUGCGGCGCAUUAGCUAGUUGGUGAGGUAAUGGCCCACCAAGGCAAUGAUGCGUAGCCGGACUGAGAGGUUGAACGGCCACAUUGGGACUGAGACACGGCCCAGACUCCUACGGGAGGCAGCAGUAGGGAAUUUUCGGCAAUGGGGGAAACCCUGACCGAGCAACGCCGCGUGAAUGAUGAAGUAUUUCGGUAUGUAAAAUUACUUUUGUUAGAGGACGAAUAGCACUAUCAGGAGAUGGGUAGUGAAUGACGGUACUUUACGAAUAAGCUCCGGCUAACUACGUG
rnacentral:rRNA from 1 species